rnacentral:rRNA from 1 species
GGGAAUUUUCCGCAAUGGGCGAAAGCCUGACGGAGCAAGACCGCGUGAGGGAUGAAGGCCUUUGGGUUGUAAACCUCUUUUCUCAGGGAAGAAUACAAUGACGGUACCUGAGGAAUAAGCCUCGGCUAACUCCGUGCCAGCAGCCGCGGUAAGACGGAGGAGGCAAGCGUUAUCCGGAAUCACUGGGCGUAAAGCGUCCGCAGGUGGCUUUCCAAGUCUGCCGUCAAAGCCCGAGGCUUAACCUCGGAUCGGCGGUGGAAACUGGAUCGCUAGAGUGCGUCAGGGGUAGGGGGAAUUCCCCGUGUAGCGUUGUAAGCAGUGGGAUCGAUACCCCAGUCGUCAUGAGAAUGCUCCGCAGUGGCAUAGAUACCCAGUAGUCAUGGACUGACGG